rnacentral:rRNA from 1 species
GACGAACGCUGGCGGCGUGCUUAACACAUGCAAGUCGAACGGAAAGGCCCUGCUUUUGUGGGGUGCUCGAGUUGCGACCGGGUGAGUAACACGUGAGUAACCUGCCCUUGACUUUGGGAUAACUUCAGGAAACUGGGGCUAAUACCGGAUAGGAGCUCCUGCUGCUUGGUGGGGGUUGGAAAGUUUCGGCGGUUGGGGAUGGACUCGCGGCUCAUCAGCUUGUUGGUGGGGUAGUGGCUUACCAAGGCUUUGACGGGUAGCCGGCCUGAGAGGGUGACCGGACCAACUGGGACGGAGCUGAGGCACAGCCUAGUACGGGACGCAACGGAGCGGAAGAGUACAUUAGGGGCGGAAGGCUGAUGUAGCCAAGCCGCGUGCGGGAUGAGGGGCAGCGGGUUGUAUACCGCUUUCGUCUGUGACGAAGCGUGAGUGACGGUACUGGGUAAAGAAGCACCGGCUAACUACGUG